UACGUAGGGUGCGAGCGUUAAUCGGAAUUACUGGGCGUAAAGCGUGCGCAGGCGGUUUUGUAAGACAGCUGUGAAAUCCCCGGGCUCAACCUGGGAACUGCGGUUGUGACUGCAAGACUCGAGUACGGCAGAGGGGGGUGGAAUUCCUGGUGUAGCAGUGAAAUGCGUAGAUAUCAGGAGGAACACCGAUGGCGAAGGCAGCCUCCUGGGCCUGUACUGACGCUCAUGCACGAAAGCGUGGGGAGCAAACAGG
rnacentral:rRNA from 1 species